rnacentral:rRNA from 1 species
CCAGCAGCCGCGGUAAUACGGAGGGAGCUAGCGUUGUUCGGAAAUACUGGGCGUAAAGCGUACGCAGGCGGCGCGUUAAGUCGGGUGUGAAAGCCCGGGGCUCAACCCCGGAACUGCAUUCGAUACUGGCGCGCUUGAGUACGGGAGAGGGAAGCGGAAUUCCUGGUGUAGAGGUGAAAUUCGUAGAUAUCAGGAGGAACAUCAGUGGCGAAAGCGGCUUCCUGGACCGAUACUGACGCUCAUGUACGAAAGCGUGGGGAGCAAAC